rnacentral:rRNA from 1 species
UACGUAGGCAGCGAGCGUUGUUCGGAUUUACUGGGCGUAAAGGGUGUGUAGGCGGUUGUUUAAGUUUGGUGUGAAAUCUCCCGGCUCAACUGGGAGGGUGCGCCGAAUACUGAAUGACUUCGAGUGCGGGAGAGGAGAGUGGAAUUCCCGGUGUAGCGGUGAAAUGCGCAGAUAUCGGGAGGAACACCAGUAGCGAAGGCGACACUCUGGGCCGGUACUGACGCUGAGGAGCGAAAGCGUGGGGAGCAAACAGG